rnacentral:rRNA from 2 species
GAUUACUGGGCGUAAGCGCGCGUAGGUGGCUUGAUAAGCCGGUUGUGAAAGCCCCGGGCUCAACCUGGGAACGGCAUCCGGAACUGUCAAGCUAGAGUGCAGGAGAGGAAGGUAGAAUUCCCGGUGUAGCGGUGAAAUGCGUAGAGAUCGGGAGGAAUACCAGUGGCGAAGGCGGCCUUCUGGACUGACACUGACACUGAGGUGCGAAAGCGUGGGUAGCAAACAGGAUUAGAUACCCUGGUAGUCCACGCCGUAAACGAUGUCGACCAGCCGUUGGGUGCCUAGCGCACUUUGUGGCGAAGUUAACGCGAUAAGUCGACCGCCUGGGGAGUACGGCCGCAAGGUUAAAACUCAAAUGAAUUGACGGGGGCCCGCACAAGCGGUGGAGCAUGUGGUUUAAUUCGAUGCAACGCGAAGAACCUUACCUACUCUUGACAUCCUGCGAACUUGUGAGAGAUCACUUGGUGCCUUCGGGAACGCAGAGACAGGUGCUGCAUGGCUGUCGUCAGCUCGUGUUGUGAAAUGUUGGGUUUAAGUCCCGUAACGAGCGCAACCCCUUGUCCUUAUUUGCCAGCGCGUAAUGGCGGGAAACUUCUAAGAGACUGCAGUGACAACCGAGAAGGUGGGGACGACGUCAAGUCAUCAUGGCCUUUACGAGUAGGGCUACACACGUGCUAACAAUGUCGUACAAGGUUGCCAC